rnacentral:rRNA from 1 species
AUUGAACGCUGGCGGCAGGCCUAACACAUGCAAGUCGAGCGGAUGAAGGGAGCUUGCUCCUGGAUUCAGCGGCGGACGGGUGAGUAAUGCCUAGGAAUCUGCCUGGUAGUGGGGGAUAACGUCCGGAAACGGGCGCUAAUACCGCAUACGUCCUGCGGGAGCAAGUGGGGGAUCUUCGGACCUCACGCUAGCAGAUGAGCCUAGGUCGGAUUAGCUAGUUGGUGGGGUAAAGGCCUACCAAGGCGACGAUGCGUAGCUGGUCUGCGAGGGUGAGCAGUCACAGUGGGACUGAGGUACGGCCCGGACUGGUACGGGAGGCAGCGGUGGAGAAUAUUGAACAAUGGGAGGAGGCGUGAUGCAGCAGUGCUGCGUGCGGGAUGACGGCUUGUGGGUUGUAAACGGCUUGCGCCUGUGACGUAGCGUGAGUGACGGUAAGGGGUAAAGAAGCACCGGCUAGCUACGUG